UGGGCCUUACCUGACGCUGAGGCGCGAAAGCUAGGGGAGCGAACAGGAUUAGAUACCCUGGUAGUCCUAGCCGUAAACGUUGGGUGCUAGGUGUGGGCGGAUAUCGACCCCGUCCGUGCCGAAGCUAACGCAUUAAGCACCCCGCCUGGGGAGUACGGCCGCAAGGCUAAAACUCAAAGGAAUUGACGGGGCCCCGCACAAGCGGCGGAGCAUGCGGCUUAAUUCGAUGCAACGCGAAGAACCUUACCUGGGUUUGACAUGCAGGGUGAAACCCGUGAAAGCGGGCGCUCUUCGGAGCCUGCACAGGUGGUGCAUGGCUGUCGUCAGCUCGUGCCGUGAGGUGUUGCCUUAAGUGGCGCAACGAGCGCAACCCCUGUCCUUAGUUGCCAGCGGAUCAUGCCGGGAACUCUAGGGAGACUGCCGGUGCCAACCGGAGGAAGGUGGGGAUGACGUCAAGUCAGCAUGCCCCUUAUACCCAGGGCUGCACGCAUGCUACAAUGCGCGAUACAGAGGGCUGCGAUCCCGUAAGGGGGAGCGAAUCCCAAAAAGUCGCGCUCAGUUCGGAUCGAGGUCUGCAACCCGACCUCUGAAGCGCGGAGUCGCUAGUAAUC
rnacentral:rRNA from 1 species